GCUUGGCAUGGUGGUGCACACCUGUAAUCCUAGCAACGUGGGAGGCUGAGGCAGGAGGAUUGCAAAUUUGAAGCCUCAGCAAUUUAGCAAGACUCUCAGUAACUUAGAGAGAUCCUGUCUCAA
rnacentral:sRNA from 1 species